rnacentral:rRNA from 1 species
GAUGAACGCUGGCGGCGUGCCUAAUACAUGCAAGUCGAGCGAACAGACGAGGAGCUUGCUCCUCUGACGUUAGCGGCGGACGGGUGAGUAACACGUGGAUAACCUACCUAUAAGACUGGGAUAACUUCGGGAAACCGGAGCUAAUACCGGAUAAUAUAUUGAACCGCAUGGUUCAAUAGUUAAAGACGGUUUUGCUGUCACUUAUAGAUGGAUCCGCGCCGCAUUAGCUAGUUGGUAAGGUAACGGCUUACCAAGGCAACGAUGCGUAGCCGACCUGAGAGGGUGAUCGGCCACACUGGAACUGAGACACGGUCCAGACUCCUACGGGAGGCAGAAGUAGGGAAUCUUCCGAAAUGGGCGAAAGCCUGACGGAGCAACGCCGCGUGAGUGAUGAAGGUCUUCGGAUCGUAAAACUCUGUUAUUAGGGAAGAACAAAUGUGUAAGUAAAUAUGCACGUCUUGACGGUACCUAAUCAGAAAGCCACGGCUAACUACGUG